rnacentral:rRNA from 1 species
UACGUAGGGUGCGAGCGUUGUCCGGAAUUAUUGGGCGUAAAGGGCUCGUAGGCGGUUUGUCGCGUCGGGAGUGAAAUCCACUGGCUUAACUGGUGGCUUGCUUUCGAUACGGGCAGACUGGAGGUAUGCAGGGGAGAACGGAAUUCCUGGUGUAGCGGUGAAAUGCGCAGAUAUCAGGAGGAACACCGGUGGCGAAGGCGGUUCUCUGGGCCUGACCUGACGCUGAGGAGCGAAAGCGUGGGGAGCGAACAGG